AGGACCGGACAACCUCAGACCGUCCCUAACAUCCCUGCUGCGAGGCCCGCGGGCUGUGGAAUCUCGCACGUCACCUGGCCCCGGCAGGGCGGCCAGCUGAAGUGUUCAUUUAAUUUAAUUUGAUUUGAUUUGAUUUUAAUUUUUUCAAGUUCAGGCUGAAUCUCGGCUUCAGUGCUUUUGCCAGCCAACGUCUCCUCCACUGACAGGAACCAGCAAACUUCGAGACUCACAUACGCGUCUUAAUUUAUUGACGCAAAACAGGUCUGCCUGUGGCCCCCAAUUCUCGGCGCGCUCAGUCCCCCGCGCCCCCAGCUCCGGUCCCUCCAUUUGGUCUCUGGAAAGCUUCACAUGUGAGAUAAAUGCACUCAAAGACUCCUCACAAGUAGCUCUUUGGAGCUUCAGAUGUGAAAUGGAUCGUUCCUCAAUCUGUAAUAGACCCUUCUGUGAAGCUCUUCAAUCAAACCUGAGGAUUCAAGGCGUUUUGUUGCAUCCUAAACAGAAGGAUAUUGAAGGGAGCUGAUUCCGCUUUGAUCCUUGUGCUUGUUGUCAAAGCGCUUGGGAUUGAAGAGACUGUUGGCUACAAUUGACUGUGACAAUUAGGAGAUGAUCAGAGCCCUAGAGUGGAGCACUUAAAGGGUUUGCAUUUAAAACACUCUUGGAGCACUAAUGGUAUAAAAUUCUGGUAACUGCACAUUCUCUUUUUAGAGCAGUAAUAAGUGAAUGAAUGAAAAGGCAGGGAUUAUUUGCCAUUCUAAGUGUGAACUGUCAGAAGAUUUCUUCUUGAAUGAAAUUGUUUUGGAAGGUGAGCUGGAACAAGACUCUUGUGACUAAAGCGAGGUGACUCUGCCUGUGGUUUUUCGAUGUUUCUCUUCACUGAAGAACUCUGCAGAGCUGUUCUUGGACUUAGAAGUUGAUUUACAUUUUCUUUAUUGGGGAUUUUGUAGGUGAAUCAUAUGAAAACAUUUAAAAGUAUGUGUAUUUGACUAUUAAUAAGUACACGGGGGUCUUUUGCAAGCUAAUUUGAAAUGAUUUGAAGUGAGUUUUUCUGUUUACCAUCACAGUGUUUUUACAAUGUAUAAAUUGCCAUAUUGUGACAAAAUAAAUUAUUGAAAUGCUUUGAAACGUUUUUAGAAAUAGGCCCAAGAAAACAAUGUGUACAUUCUUAGUUAAUUCACACGUUAAUUCAUUGAAAUGUCUCUGCUACUGAAAAGUUCUAGAGCCUUUAUAGCACAACAUUCCAGAACAUUUACUGUCUUGUUUUAAUAAGCUGCUUUCUUUGUAUACCUGUUUGGUGGCAGCACAGAGGCUGCCAGAUUUAGCAAGUAAAAAUCAAGAAUUUCUCGUUAAAUUUGCGUUUCUGAUAAAUAGUGAAUACUUUUUUUAAUGUAAGUAUGUCCCAUGCAGUGCUUGCAUUUUAUCUGGAACCCUAGUUGAUACUUUGAUAUUGCAACCACACACUGAAUGGAUGGGCUAGUUAUUAAUAAAUUAUAAAUGAUCAUUUAUAGAUCAGUUUACUUUCACUGUCAUAUUAGGUGGGCCAGCCCGCAUGCUGCUCUCAAAUAGAAACCAAGGGCUUUUAACUCAUUAUUGCUGAGUUUAACUUUCCCCAUA